UUUUGAAGAUCAGCGGCGGACGGGUGAGUAACACGUGGGCAACCUGCCUGUAAGACUGGGAUAACUUCGGGAAACCGGAGCUAAUACCGGAUAAUCCUUUCCCUCACAUGAGGGAAAGCUGAAAGACGGUUUCGGCUGUCACUUACAGAUGGGCCCGCGGCGCAUUAGCUAGUUGGUGAGGUAACGGCUCACCAAGGCAACGAUGCGUAGCCGACCUGAGAGGGUGAUCGGCCACACUGGGACUGAGACACGGCCCAGACUCCUACGGGAGGCAGCAGUAGGGAAUCUUCCGCAAUGGACGAAAGUCUGACGGAGCAACGCCGCGUGAACGAUGAAGGCUUUCGGGUCGUAAAGUUCUGUUGUCAGGGAAGAACAAGUACCGGAGUAACUGCCGGUACCUUGACGGUACCUGACCAGAAAGCCACGGCUAACUACGUGCCAGCAGCCGCGGUAAUACGUAGGUGGCAAGCGUUGUCCGGAAUUAUUGGGCGUAAAGCGCGCGCAGGCGGUUCCUUAAGUCUGAUGUGAAAGCCCCCGGCUCAACCGGGGAGGGUCAUUGGAAACUGGGGAACUUGAGUGCAGAAGAGGAGAGCGGAAUUCCACGUGUAGCGGUGAAAUGCGUAGAGAUGUGGAGGAACACCAGUGGCGAAGGCGGCUCUCUGGUCUGUAACUGACGCUGAGGCGCGAAAGCGUGGGGAGCGAACAGGAUUAGAUACCCUGGUAGUCCACGCCGUAAACGAUGAGUGCUAA
rnacentral:rRNA from 2 species